rnacentral:rRNA from 1 species
AACGAACGCUGGCGGCGUGCCUAACACAUGCAAGUCGAGCGCGAAUGGAGCAAUCCUAGUAGAGCGGCGCACGGGUGCGUAACACGUGGGUAAUCUGCCUCAAAGCCCGGGAUAACCUGCCGAAAGGCAAGCUAAUACCGGAUAAGCCUACGGACUCUUCGGGGUCUGAAGGAAAAGGUGGCCUCUGUAUACAAGCUAUCACUUUGAGAUGAGCCCGCGGCCCAUCAGCUCGUU